AACGGAGGAAAAGAAAAUAACUAUGAUUCCCUUAGUAACGGCGAGUGAACAGGGAAAAGCCCAAAUUUGUAAUCUGGCACUUUUUACAAGUGUCCGAGUUGUAAUUUGUAGAACUGUUAUCCGYGCUGGACCAUGUACAAGUCUGUUGAAAAGCAGCAUCAUUGAAGGUGAAAAUCCUGUAGAUGAUAUGGACUACCAGUGCAUUUGUGAUACGGUUUCUAAGAGUCGAGUUGUUUGGGAAUGCAGCUCAAAGUGGGUGGUAAAUUCCAUCUAAGGCUAAAUAUAAGUGAGAGACCGAUAGCAAACAAGUACCGUGAGGGAAAGAUGAAAAGAACUUUGAAAAUAGAGUUAACAGUACGUGAAAUUGCUGAAAGGGAAACGUUUGAAGUUAGUUUUGUAUUCGUUGGAUCAGCUUCGCAAGGAGUGUAUUCUGAUGAUAAGCAAGUCAACAUCAAUCUAUGAGUGUCGGAGAAGGGUUUUGAGAAUGUAGCAAUUUUUAUUAAUUGUGUUAUAGCUUGAGACUUGGAUACGAUGCUUUGGAUUGAGGAACGCGUAGUAAGCUUUGAGCGGAUUCGAAAGGAUCUCCUUACUAUGGAUGUUG
rnacentral:rRNA from 1 species